GAUGCGUCAGCUAGUGAAGAGGAGGAGGAAGAAGAGGACGAUGAGGAUGAAGAUGAGGAAGAGGAAGGGGCAGCUUGGAGGCUGCCCCCCAGAUGGGGUCAGCUGGGAACCUCCCAGCGGCCUCGCCCUCCUCGCCCUACUCAUCGGAAAACCUGCUCCCAGCGCCGCCGCAGAGCCAUGCGAGCCUUCCGGAUGCUGCUGUACUCAAAAAGCACCUCGUUGACAUUCCACUGGAAGCUUUGGGGGCGCCACCGGGGCCGGCGGCGGAGCCUCGCACACCCCAAGAACCAUCUUUCACCCCAGGAAGGGGGUGCGACACCACAGCUGCCAUCCCCCUGCUGUCGUUUUGACUCCCCUCGGGGGCCACCUCCGCCCCGGCUCGGUCUGCUAGGUGCUCUCAUGGCUGAGGACGGGGUGAGAGGGUCUCCACCAAUGUCCUCUGGGCCCCCAGUGGAGGAAGAUGGAUUAAGGUGGACUCCAAAGUCUCCUCUGGACCCUGACUCCGGUAAGGUGGGAAUGGGGUGUGGGAAGGGUGGGGGCAGGGUUCAGAUCCAGGAGGAUUGGGAGCCUCUUGCUGUGGUGAGAGCCGGGCCUAAGGAAGGUGGGACGGCAGAGCGAGGGGGUCCAGAAUAGCUGUGAAAUGUCUUAAGCCCCACUUUGAGCAAGAUCUAAGUCUGGGGAGACGGUCAAGGCCGGGUGACAGAGUCCCCGAGCUGAGUAGGCGUCCUGUGUACAGACGAGAACGGGAGAUGAGGUUUAGAAAAGUUAGUCUUAUUAUCCACGCAAGCUCCCUUUUCGUUUGGCCUUUCCGAAUAAAGGGGCCCUUGCCUGUGCAUCUGCGAAGGGUGCCACUCUAGUGCCGGGAUGGGAUUUCUCUGCAGUUACCACCUGUAUAGCCGUGUGUGACAUUCGCACUCGGAAUGUUUCUUUCGGGGACGCAGGCAGACCAUGUCGGGCUGUGUCUUUAUCAGUCCCUGGAGUAUUUAUCGAGCCUUCGGUGUGCACCGGGUGCCGUACUCGGUGCCAGGUAUAUAUGGUGGUGGUAAAUGUCUCGGACGUGUGCCUCUCUCCGGGUCUUAGUCUUUUCUUGCUUCUGUCCUAUGACGAGCACCUCUUCUCUUCAGUUCCUCUGUAACCUGUUAAGACAUGCUUCUCUCACGCCUUACGGUUUCCAUCCCCCAGAGUUCCUAUCGGGAGAUUCCGUUUCGGUUCCUCCCCGUGGUCUUAGAAUUUGUAUCGUUUGAUCUCACCAUUGUUCCUUGAUCUUAGCCAAUUUCUCAUCCCCAUCCUGUUUCCCCUGCGCUGUAGGCCUCCUCUCCUGUACUCUUCCCAAUGGCUUUGGGGGACCGCCUGGGCCAGAAGGGGAGCGAGGCCUGGCACCCCCUGACGCCAGCAUCCUCAUCAGCAAUGUGUGCAGCAUCGGGGACCACGUGGCCCAGGAACUCUUCCAGGGCUCCGACCUGGGCACCGCAGAAGAGGCGGAGCGGCCCGGGGAGAAGGCCGGCCAGCACAGCCCCCUGCGAGAGGAGCAUGUGACCUGCGUGCAGAGUAAGGGAGCCCACACGGCCGGGCCUUCUCUUCUCUCAGCCAGCUCCUAAGUUGGAGUGUGGAGGCCUCACACGCUCCUCUUCCUCUCCGCUCAGGCAUCUUGGAUGAAUUCCUUCAGACUUACGGCAGCCUCAUUCCUCUCAGCACUGAUGAGGUGGUGGAGAAACUGGAGGACAUCUUUCAGCAGGAGUUCUCUACACCUUCCAGGUGAGGCAGGACAGGGGGGUCCUCAGAAGAGGGCCGGGGCCUGAGGGGCCCUAGGGGUCAGGGGUCGGGAGAGAAUGCUGCCCAGAGGGACCGACUCAGGGGAGGAGGAGGGAGCAGGGACCGAGGGGGAGGAGUCUGCAGGUGAAGCGCGAAGCCCCUGUAAGCAGAUGGGGGCGGUCCUUCCCCGGGCCCCUGAAACACGCCCCGUGCUCACGUGCCUCCUUCCAAGGAGCGGGCCCUUCAGCAGGCCCUCGGAAGGCUACGCGAGCCCCGAUGGGGACUAGUUGAGACAGAUCCUGAUUCUGGGCAGUAGAAGGUCCUUCUGUAUGCCCUAGCCCCCUCGUCUCUUGUGUGACUCCACCCUUGGCCUACUCAGGAAGGGCCUGGUGCUGCAGCUCAUCCAGUCGUACCAGCGCAUGCCAGGCAACGCCAUGGUGAGGGGCUUCCGAGUGGCCUAUAAGCGGCACGUGCUGACGAUGGACGACCUGGGGACUCUGUACGGACAGAACUGGCUCAAUGACCAGGUGAGGAGGAGGGAGAAACGGGCCCCGAAGGGGAUUUGGGGAGCAGGGUGUCUGGGGCCCUCUGCUCGGGGGAGCCCUGUGCCCAUGCUGCACCCUCCAUGGCAAGUUGCCGCCCAUCUUCUCCCCAGGUGAUGAACAUGUAUGGAGACCUGGUCAUGGACACGGUCCCUGAAAAGGUAGGCCUGACAGGGUACUUCAGUCCCCAGGAGAACUUCUGCAGAUCCCAGCAGCUUUUUCACUCCCUUUGAUCUCUUCCCUUUUCACGGAGGGAGGAUCUUUGUUUGGGGGAGAGGUGGUAAAAGGCGGUCUGUUAAAUUCAAACCUGUAACCUAGGUCCUGAACUUCUCUGUUCCUUUCCCCCCAGUCGGCAGUGGUUCUCCCUGUGGCUCACCCCACCAGUUGGGAGGGGCAGCAGGAAGAGAAUUGGGUUUCUGCCCCCAGUGGAUUGCAGUGGAGGUUGUUGAAACUGGCCCUCGGAGCCCCAGUGACAUGGAGCGGACUGGGCGGAGGAGACUUGGCAGGGAGGCCUGAAGCUCUUUUAACUCCAUCCAGCUCUUUUGUGUCAUUGGCACAGGUGCAUUUCUUCAACAGUUUCUUCUACGAUAAACUCCGUACCAAGGGUUAUGAUGGGGUGAAAAGGUGGACCAAAAACGUGAGUUGCCAGUUCACGUGUAUGUGGGUAACGCCUUGCCUGUAAAGGAUUAGAGUUCCGCUUUCUAGGAGUCCCUUCCCCGAGGCUGCUCACUCAGUCUUUCAAGUAACAUGGGUCUUCUGUGUGUUCGGUACUGUCGUGGGCAGCAAGGACUCGGUGUUAAGUAAGGAAGACUUCUCUCUCGCCUUCGUGGAGUGUGAAUAAGUAAGUUAAAUUUCAGCUAGUGUUAGGCGCCGUGAACAAAUUAAAAGGGAGAUGUAGUAGCGUGGAAUGUGGGUGGCUCCGGGAAGGCCACUCUUCUCUGAGCCUGGAAUGACGAGGGCCCGGUCACGUGUGGCUCGGGGGCAAGAGUGGUUUAGGCGAAGGGGACGGCGAGUACAUGGGACACGAGGUGAGACUGGGGGGGGCCCAGAAGGCCCACAGGAGUGUCUGGUGUGGUUGGGGCAGGGUGAGCGGGGGGAGUAUGAUCAGAAGCUCGGCCAGGGCUGAUCGCGUGGGGCGUGGAGGCCGCUGUCACCGUGUGCGCUGAGGCGCCGUUGACGAGCCUUAAGCAGGCUGGGAAGGGCCUCCUGUUUUGACGGAGAUUGGAAGUGGGGCAAGAAUGGGAGCAGGCGGACUAACUAGGAGGCGAGCAAAGAAGGCGAGACAGACGCUCGACCAGGAUGCUGAGGGAGAAGCAGGAGUGCUCUCUAGGAUGGGUUUUGCAGGUAGAACCGAAGUACUUUCUGGCGGGUUGGACGAGGGAACGAAGAAAAGCUCGGAAUCAGGGUGAUGCCUGGGUUCGUAGCAGACGUUACUGGGGAAGACGGGAGAGAGCACGUUUGGCGAGGAGGAAAAGAUCGUUCUCGUUAGUUUCCCUGCCCUGCAAUUCCAAGGCCGGGAAAUUUCUACAGUGAGGUAGGACCGUGGGCUGCAGCAUUUCUUAGUUUCCGUCCCCAGGCUCAGGAGCUCACACCCUCCCUGACCUGGCAGGCCUGCUACUCCCGAUAGAGGUGGGGGGACCUACAGUGAAAGAACUUGGCCUCUGCAUACUGCAUCUGAGUCCCACCUCUGCCCCUUCCGUGACCUUCAGCAAGUUGCCUAGUCUUCUAAGCUGCCGUUUCCUCCGGCAGAUCGAGGGAGAGAACUUCCUCGGAGGAUUGUUGUGGUAACUGACCGACCACUUGCCGGGGACCCAGCGUUGUCCUCGGUGUGACUUAAUUCUCAGAACAAACAGAGGAGGUAGCGGCUGUCACUUCCAGCCUUUUACAGUGAAGAGAACUGAGGCGUAUAGAGUGGCUUGCCCAUGGCCGCGAGCUAGGAAAGGCAGGAGCUAGCUCUAAACCCCCGCAGUCUGGCUCCAGAGUGCUGAGCCUCGGUUCUUUGCUCCUGAGCGCUGGUACCUUUAAUGUGUGGAAAGUACCCGGGCCAUCCUGGGCUCUCAGGUGUGUGCUCUGACACCGCCCCUUCCGGUGGAGGGCUGGGCCUUGUGCCCUCCCAUGCGGCUUCCUGCCAGCGCCUCCACUCGUCUCUAGACCCCUCAUGACGGUAGGCAGGACUCUCGUGCCCUCUGACCAGACCCCUGGCACUGCCCCCCUUAGGUGGACAUCUUCAAUAAGGAGCUACUGCUGAUCCCCAUCCACCUGGAGGUGCAUUGGUCCCUCAUCUCGGUUGACGUGAGGCGACGCACCAUCACCUACUUUGACUCGCAGCGCACCCUGAACCGCCGCUGCCCUAAGGUCUGAGCGGGAAGGAGGGAGGCGGGAAGAGUGGGGAGGAAAUCCAGUGGCGGCACUCGCGGCGGAAGGGUGGGCCUGGGGCCUCUGAGGAGCAAACCUGGGCUUGGUGCCUGUGACCACCAUACCCCGGGCUCCUGUGGGAGACACCGGGCAUCGCUCCCUCCUUUUCUCCGUCUGCACAGCAUAUUGCCAAGUACCUACAGGCAGAGGCCGUGAAGAAAGACCGGCUGGAUUUCCACCAGGGCUGGAAAGGUUACUUCAAAAUGGUAAGUUUCUAGAGGGAGGAGUACGGGGUGGUGAUAGAGGUAAGGCAGGAGGCAGAAGUUGAGGCCACACCCCUAGGAGCCUCCAAACGAAGGGCCUGCCUUCUCCUUUUCUAGAAUGUGGCCAGGCAGAAUAAUGACAGUGACUGCGGUGCCUUUGUGUUACAGGUAAGCAGAUGGCAGUUGGGUUAAAGGGCUGGGCAAGAGGAGGGAGGCUGUUCUGCAACCCGCCCCCGCCCCGUUGCUCACAGCCCCUUGUGGAGCAGAGAGUAACCUUAGGUGUCAGAAAGCGCAAACAUGGAUUUCGUCGGCUCUCCUGGCUUCCCCGUCCCACAUCGGGACUGGGUCUCUUGCUCCUUGGUUUCUGGCCCUAAGAAGAGUGGCCUCCUAACCGCCAAUGCGGAGUAUUUUAACACCGGGUAUUUCAGGUACCAAGAGCAGUGAUUUUAGACUUUGAGCCCCAGGCUGGGGCACCUUGGCUCCCUUUGUGAAAUGUGGAUGUUCUCUGAAAGUUCCAGGGAGGGAGGUGGAUCUCACUCACGCGAAGGGGGUAGCACAGGUCCUGACUUGGGGGGUGGGGGGAUGCUCACGGCCUGCUUUGUUAACACCCAGUACUGCAAGCACCUGGCGCUGGCCCAGCCGUUCAGCUUCACCCAGCAGGACAUGCCCAAACUUCGUCGGCAGAUCUACAAGGAGCUGUGUCACUGCAAACUCACUGUGUGAGCCUCGGAUCCCAGGCCUCAAGCCCGUUUAUGAAUGGGCGUGGGGACAUGGGGGACCCUUCCUUCCCAAGAAACUCCCAUUCCUUUCCUCUCUUGCCUCUCCCCACCCAGUUCCCUUUUGGUUUUUCAUAUUUAAAUGUUUUAAUUGAUUUCUGUAUUUUUUUUUUCCUUUUGAGAGAAUACUUGUUGAUUUCUGAUGUUCAGGGGGUGGCCAUGAAAAAGCCUCUUUUUUCUCUGUGCCCUGGGGGAGCGUGGCCUUGCGGCCUGGGUGGGGCAGCCAUCCAUCCCCCUUCUGUGUGCAGGGGCGGGGGCAGGAAAAUCUGUGCUGGGGGUGGAGGGCGGGCAAAGGGAUUCCGGCCUGCCAGAUCUUCAAACUUUUUUUUAUAUAUAUAUAUAAAUGCCACGGUCCUGCUCUGGUCAAUAAAGGAUCCUUUGGAGAUACACAGUGGUGGUCGUCCUUAAGGGGCAUCAAACUAGUGGAUAUGCUCGCUCUCAGGCUUUGAUUCAGCAGCCCCUGUUAGCUCCCCUUUUCGUGGGCAUGGAGACCUCAGCCUUCCACCCCUGGCUCGCUGGCCAGCACCCUGUCUUCAUCAUCCCUAAAGAGUCCCGUAAGGGAGCUUGAGAGGUGCUGGAGCUGGGCAACAGGACACUUAAGAGAGCCAGCCAAAGUUCAUGACAGCGACCCCAAAUGCUGGGGAAGCCAGGAAGUCGGCUGUUCCAUCCUUGUCCCUCCCUGUGGCCGGGGGGUGGGGGUGGGGGUGGGGGGCCCUGUCGCGGGGGCGUAUCGCCUGAUCCCAUCAUCCCCGGCACCCCCGGAACGGGGCGGGACGGUGUCCGAUCUACCUUUGCUCCAGGAGAGAACGGAACAGAAUGUAGGUCUUGGGCAGACUCAGAGCAGAGGCGAAGGGAAGCGGCGGUCUCUGGAGCCCGGAAGUCCCUGGAGGCUGAAACCUCGCCCCUCUCGCGUGAUAGGGCGCGCUGGGCCACAUGACCAAGGCGCUCUCGCCUCCGCACGUGUAGGGGCGCUGGGCCCCAAGAUGGCUGCCAGGCCUCGAGGCCCGACUCCCAUAUGUCACUUCCGUACCGGCGAGAAAGGCGGGCCCCAGAGCCAAUGGGGCCGCGGGGCGGGUCUUCCCCUUGACAGAUGUCCAGGCGAUCCAAUGGUGGCCGCGUGCCGGAGCUCCUGCGAGCUGACGUCACGCCGAGUCGCUGAACGCCGGCAGGCGGGGCCGAGGUGGCCAAGCCAAUGCGAUGGCUGGGGCGGGGUCGGGCGCUCUAUAAGUUGUCGAUAGGCGGGCACUCCGCCCUAGUUUCUAAGGAUCAUGUCUGCGAGUCAGGAUUCCCGGUAAGAAACCCUUUUGCAAGAGGUCGAGGCUACUUACCCAGCCGCUCCCUCCCGAGGGCCCCGCGGGGGGAGCUGAGGCCCACCGCCCUGGGCACCCCUCCCCCCACCCGGGGUUGCGGGGCAGCCACGCCGGGAGGCCCGGUCCUGGGGAAGCGAGUAGGCGCGGCCCGCCGGGAGGCCGGCGCCGAGCGCCAGGCGAGGCCGCGGCCGGGCGUGGGAGGCGGAGGCGNNNNNNNNNNNNNNNNNNNNNNNNNNNNNNNNNNNNNNNNNNNNNNNNNNNNNNNNNNNNNNNNNNNNNNNNNNNNNNNNNNNNNNNNNNNNNNNNNNNNNNNNNNNNNNNNNNNNNNNNNNNNNNNNNNNNNNNNNNNNNNNNNNNNNNNNNNNNNNNNNNNNNNNNNNNNNNNNNNNNNNNNNNNNNNNNNNNNNNNNNNNNNNNNNNNNNNNNNNNNNNNNNNNNNNNNNNNNNNNNNNNNNNNNNNNNNNNNNNNNNNNNNNNNNNNNNNNNNNNNNNNNNNNNNNNNNNNNNNNNNNNNNNNNNNNNNNNNNNNNNNNNNNNNNNNNNNNNNNNNNNNNNNGGCGGGGGGCGGGGGGAGACGCCGCUGGGUGGUCGAGGGAGCGAGCACAUGGCGGCCCGAGGGGCUCCCCUCCCCCAGCCCGCUUCGCUUCUCAGUGUUGUGCAAUCUCCCCCUUCGCUAGCUCGGCUGGGGCUCAUUGUGCGCGAGGCCGCCACCGCCCGCGGCCUCCCACAUCCGGGCACCGCGAGGGGGGGAGACGGGCUGGAGGGGGUGGGGGAGGGCGCGGGCGGAGUGACGUGGGGGGAAGGGGAUGUCCUACCCUCGCAUCGGGGAGGUGCGGGGCGGGACUUCCGGCGCGCCGGGGCCGCGGUGGGAGGUGCACGCGCUCGGACUCGGAGCGGCCCGGCCCCGGACACGUGGGCCCGGCCGCGGGGACCACCUCCGGUCCCCCGGAAGCGCCGACGCCGUUCCUUCCAGCCUCCGGGCCUUCGGGGGUUGGGUCGUCCCCUCGGUGGCGGGACCAGAGGCCUGACUCGGUUGUAAAUUGAGCACUGUGUCUCCUGGGGACCAGGAUGGGGUCGGGUCGGGGAGCGUGGGCUGAUGGCAUCGUGCGAGGCCGGUUGCUGGUAGGAAGAGCCUGGCCGUCGGGAUUUCUGGCGUCUCAGUCGGCCUACUUCUACUUUAAACCAACAGAUCCAGAGACAAUGGCCCCGAUGGGAUGGAGCCCGAAGGCGUCAUCGAGGUGAGAUUGCACUCCUGAGCCACUGUCUUUAGUCCCUGGGAAAGGCAGUGUCUCCUGGUUUCUGGAGAGCUGCUUGCCUAACUCUCAAGUAGAUGACUUCUCCUACCCAUCCUAAGUCCUUUCCAGUGAUCUGUUCCAAAUUGGUAGGUCCCUGAGUGUGUGUGAAACAGUCCUGUGUGUUGAGUCUCCUCUCUCCUAUACUGUCCAGCCUCUCCUCUUACAAGCGGACCGGCCCCUUAGAGUGACUUCCCAGACCGCGUAGAGCCAACCAGCUUCCCAGGUGGGAGGAGAGGCUGUGGGCUCUGGAGCUUUGGUCCUGUUUGCUCCGCUUCUGGGACACCGCGUCGCCUCUUCUACCAUUUGAAUUGUUUUGUGCCCCACAGAGUAACUGGAACGAGAUCGUCGACAGCUUUGACGACAUGAACCUCUCCGAGUCUCUUCUCCGGGGCAUCUAUGCCUAUGGUUUCGAGAAGCCUUCUGCCAUCCAGCAGCGAGCCAUUCUUCCUUGUAUCAAGGGUAAGAUAAGAUCCCUCUGCCCCAGAAUGAGUUCUGCAUGGUCCCUGAUCUGGGUGGAGUGGCACCUGGUCAGUGGUGCCAGCCUCAUAUCAGUCUGGGGCAAAGCAAUUCCUUGUUUAUCCCAGCUUGGCUUUUCGUUUGUGCCGGUGCCUGGUUCAUGCCCUGGACACAUGGAUGGCUGGUUGGAUUUCAGUAAGGUGGUAUUUUAGCCAGUUCUUCACUGCUAUUGGUAUUUUAGGUCAAAGGUCAAUUCUGGGCAGUCCUAAAUGAAUGAGUAAUGUAACUUGGUUUCCAGAUGUUCCCAUUUGGGCACUAGGCUGUGGCGCGGUAAAGUCUGGGAGGCACUAAAUGCUUGGCACUUAGCUCUUAUCAAUUGCUUGUUGAUUGAGCAGAGCCUUGAACGUCUGUCUCCUGAUAGCAACGUGUACGUACUCUCACGUCAACUUUCUUCUACUCUGUUUAGGUUAUGAUGUGAUCGCUCAAGCCCAGUCUGGGACUGGGAAAACAGCCACUUUUGCCAUAUCGAUUCUGCAACAGAUUGAAUUGGAUCUCAAGGCCACACAGGCCUUGGUCCUGGCGCCCACUAGAGAGCUGGCUCAGCAGGUGAGCGUGUGGCUUCCCUCCCCUGGAGGGUGCUCUGGGAAGGAGCAUAAUCAAAAAGUCCGAGGUGUGCUCCCUAAGGGCCACCACCUCAAGAUCUGAAGCGUUGGGGAAGAGAGAUCUAAAGAAAAUGAGCCAAGGCCUGCUGGAUCUCUGAAGGCUGGCUGGGGUUAAUUACAUGCCCUUUCCUACCGAACAAUAAGCAUCGUUUCCUCCGCCCAUUUCCUGAGUCCAGGAAAAAGGCAGCUAGGUGGAGCCCGGCUGGCUGAGCAAGUUUGGUGGCUGUUGUGUGAACAAACCCCCUGGUGAUGGGCAAAGAGACACCUCGGUGAUGGUGCUGCUCUUAUAUCAGCCUGGGGCAGAGCAGACGCAGUCCUUUGUUCAUCCUAGCUUGAUGCCUGGGUUGGUGGCCAGAGCUGUUUCAUGCCUGGGGCACAUGAAAUCCUAAUGAUAGACUUUUCUUGGGUCUCGGAGGAGAGAGAACGAGAAACGUUCAUUUCCUAGUUAUUUUUAAACCCUCGGUGGGGAAGUUAUGAUUCUUUGCUAACUUGUAGAUAACAGGUGAAGUAAGUAAAGAAGUUCGAGAAGGAUUCCUUAGGGCAUUAAUGGGCAGAACACACUUUUUUCAACACCGAACAUGGCAUCUAGCAUCGAUCGGUUCAGUGGCAGAAGGACGCAGGUAGAGGUCAUUCUGUUCACUAAACUGGUCGCUUUGAGAUCUAAUGAAUGGGUCGCUCUUGGCUUUUAGAAAGGGCUGUUACUGUGAAUCCUUGUAUUCUUCGGGACCAGACCAAGUUCAGAUCCUGGGCCUGCCCCUUCUUGGCAGCGUGGUCUUAAAUGAAGUCGUCUGCUUGUUUCUUGUCCGGGAAGUGAGUUUAACGGCGCAUGUGUGAUCUGGAGAAUGACACGAGAAGCCUUUCCGGUGGGGUCUGGCACGGUUGUAGCUAAUCUACGGGUCCUUCUGUUUCUCUGGGUUCAGAUACAGAAGGUGGUCAUGGCGUUGGGAGAUUACAUGGGUGCCUCCUGCCACGCCUGCAUCGGAGGGACCAAUGUACGUGCCGAGGUGCAGAAGCUUCAGAUGGAAGCACCCCAUAUCAUUGUGGGGACCCCGGGACGUGUGUUCGACAUGCUUAACCGGAGAUACCUAUGUGAGUGUCAGCUUUCUGCUUCCCCGUCUUCCCUGUCCUCACCUGACUACAACCUCGUCCCCUAGGCCGUCUGUUUUCGCCAGUGGAAGAGAUGCUCUGUGAUGAACCCAUGCGUGUCAUCUGAGCCUGGCUUGGCUCCCCUGUCUUCUCAGCCCGGGGAGUGUUCUACUUCCCAGGCCUGUCGCCUGGCCUGGCACGGGGGUCCCAGGCAAAGGAUCAGCCUCUGUAUUCUGAGAGCAGACCUCUCGUCCGUUCUUUCUCUGGAGGUUGAAGCCUGACUUCAUAGUUCUCUAGUUUUGUUACCUGUUGUUUUUCCUGUCGUAGCUCCCAAAUACAUCAAGAUGUUUGUGCUGGAUGAAGCUGACGAAAUGUUAAGCCGCGGGUUCAAGGACCAGAUCUAUGACAUAUUCCAGAAGCUCAACAGUAACACCCAGGUGAGCAAGCCGUUAGAGACUGGUGUGGUUGGGGGGGGGGAUAGGACAGCGAUGGCAAGUGCCAGAGAAACCACAGGAAUUCCGGGUGUCUCGCUUCGGGCCUCUUUACACGCGGGCUUCUGUUUGAGGGGGCAGGCAUCGUGGAGGAGCCCCUACCCCGAGGCUUCUGUCUUCCCUUAGGUGGUCUUGCUGUCUGCUACGAUGCCUUCCGAUGUGCUCGAGGUGACCAAGAAGUUCAUGAGGGACCCCAUUCGAAUUCUGGUCAAGAAGGAGGAGUUGACCCUGGAGGGUAUCCGCCAGUUCUACAUCAAUGUGGAACGAGAGGUGGGGCCCCGGGGCAGGGGGCGGGCCUGGUGGUGCGUCGUUGGUACAGCCCCUGACUGAUCUCCCGCCCCUGCCACGCCCCGCCCCCCUCCAGGAGUGGAAGCUGGACACACUGUGCGACUUGUACGAGACCCUGACCAUCACGCAGGCAGUCAUCUUCAUCAACACCCGAAGGAAGGUCGAUUGGCUCACCGAGAAGAUGCACGCCCGAGACUUCACCGUGUCCGCGAUGGUGAGUUCUCUCCACCUGGCUACCGGCAGCGCGUGCGUCUGCGCCCUGCUCACCACCGGUCCUCAGGACGCACCCUCCGUUUCCUGUUCCAGCACGGAGACAUGGACCAAAAGGAGCGAGACGUUAUCAUGAGGGAGUUCCGCUCUGGCUCUAGCAGAGUAUUGAUCACCACUGACCUGCUGGUGAGUAGAGCGGACUCGGGAGAAGACUGGGAAGGAAGAAGGGAAAAUCCAAGGUGAUUCCCUCUCCAAGGGGCCUGCUCGUGCCCCUCUUCAGGAAAGUAGCAGCUUGGAACAGAACCUGGCAAGCCUCAGGCCGUUGGGGGAGGGGAGGUUUGUUUCCUUUGCCUGCCUUCGGCUGCCUACACCGCGCUCCAGUCCCUCCUGCACCGAUACUGUGCUCCUCUCUUUUCCCUUGCUCACCCCUCAUUCACACGCUGACCCGUCCUCUCCUUUGCCCCAGGCCAGAGGCAUUGAUGUCCAGCAGGUUUCCCUAGUCAUCAACUACGACCUUCCCACCAACAGGGAAAACUACAUCCACAGGUAAGUGUGGUUCCGGAACGUGGCCUCCCCUCUCCCUGUGCUGUGGCUCCCCCCCCCCCCCCCGGCCCCCCUUCCCUUCAUCCUACCUACCGAGGCGCCGUUUUCCACCAGAAUUGGUCGCGGUGGACGAUUUGGCCGUAAGGGUGUGGCUAUCAACAUGGUGACAGAAGAAGACAAGAGGACACUUCGAGACAUCGAGACCUUCUACAACACCUCCAUUGAGGAGAUGCCCCUCAAUGUUGCUGACCUCAUCUGAGGGGCUGUCCUGCGCCCUGGCCCUACCCAGGCUUCAGUCCUUGGGGGGCUGAAGAGGAGCAGGAGGGGGGAGGGAAGGGAGCCAAGGGAUGGACAUCUUGUCAUUUUUUUUCUUUUUUUUUUUUUUCUUUGAAUAAAUGUCACUUUUUGAGGCAAAAGGAGGAACCGUGAACAUUUUAGACACCCUUUUCUUUGGGGCAGAUUCCUGCCCCAGGCGCCGUCUCUUCUCCCAAAAACACUAA
rnacentral:lncRNA from 1 species